rnacentral:rRNA from 1 species
CUUGGUCAUUUAGAGGAAGUAAAAGUCGUAACAAGGUCUCCGUUGGUGAACCAGCGGAGGGAUCAUUAAAGAGUUUUUAACUCCUAAACCCAUGUGAACAUACUAUAUGUUGCCUCGGCAGGUCGCAUACAAUCUAUAUUAGCACUCACUAAUAGCUUGUUUGAUGUUGUUGUUUUGACAAGUGAGCUCUCACCUGCGAGUAAUCCGGACAGAAGCGUUAUAGCUUGUCAGUGCAUUCAACGUUAUUAAAGCUAUGAGUCUUAUUUAGACGAUGCGUUAAGGCCUGCCGGCGGCCCAUUAAACACCGUAGGUUGGUUGCGUCUACUCUAUAAGAUUAAAAUACAUCUGUGAUGGGAGGAGGAUGUGGCCGGUAGUUAAUCUACCCUUGUGGUUUAAUCGACCCUUGUGCUUUUGCUGGCUUUUUUAUUCCCUACCCUGAUAGAUAUAUCUACUAGAGUGAUGUAUACCGCUAACCUGUUGGUGGAUUAUUAAUUCUAGUCUUUAAUUGGUUCUGAAGUUAUAAAUAAUAAGUUAAAACUUUCAACAACGGAUCUCUUGGUUCUGGCAUCGAUGAAGAACGCAGCGAAAUGCGAUAAGUAAUGUGAAUUGCAGAAUUUAGUGAAUCAUCGAAUCUUUGAACGCACAUUGCGCCCAUUAGUAUUCUAGUGGGCAUGCCUGUUCGAGCGUCAUUUCAACCCUUAAGCCUUCGUUGCUUAGUGUUGGGAGCCUACAGUAGUGUAGCUCCCCAAAGUCAGUGGCAGAGUCGGUUCAUACUCUAGAUGUAGUAGACUUAUCUCGUCUGUGAGUUGGGCCGGUCCCUUGCCGUAAAACCCCUAAAUUUUAAAGGUUGACCUCGGAUCAGGUAGGAAUACCCGCUGAACUUAAGCAUAUCAAUAAGCGGAGGA